CAGAGUGGCCUUGCUGCCACG
rnacentral:snRNA from 1 species